GGGGAUAUGGCUCAGUGGUAGAGUUCUUGCUUUGUAUGCACAAGACCCUGGUUUUUAUCCCCA
rnacentral:tRNA from 1 species